rnacentral:rRNA from 1 species
GAUGAACGCUGGCGGCGUGCCUAAUACAUGCAAGUCGAGCGAACGGACGAUGCGCUUGCUUCUUGGAUGUUAGCGGCAGACGUGUGUGUAACACGUGGAUCACCUACCUGUAAGACGGGGAUCAUCUCGGGAAACCGGCUCUAAUACCGUAGAAGAUUUUGAACCGCGUUGUUCAAAAGUGAAAGACGGUGUUGCUGUCUCUUCUCGAUGCAUCUGGGCUUCAUUAGCUAGUUGUGACGGUAAAGGCUUACCAAGGCUACGAUGCGUGACCGAGCUGACAGGGUGAUCGGCCACCUUGGAGCGGAGACGCGGUCCAGACUCCUACGGGAGGCAGCAGUAGGGAAUCUUACGCAGUGGGCGAAAGCCUGACGGAGCAACGCCGCGUGAGUGAUGAAGGUCUUCGGAUCGUAAAACUCUGUUAUUAGGGAAGAACAUAUGUGUAAGUAACUGUGCACAUCUUGACGGUACCUAAUCAGAAAGCCACGGCUAACUACGUG